UGUGAAUCGACGACUCUCGCUCGCCAAGACUUACCGGGGUCUUCCCUCUACUCCGCCUCUCCCCAUCUUGUUCGCCCAUCGCAGCGACGGCGCAUCGCCUAGUCUUCGCCAGCCAGCCCCAAGGAAGCAACAGCAGUGGAGCAAUAUUUCUCAAAUAGAAACCAAUCACCAGAUUCAGAUUAUGAUGUAGGCACUUCAAGGCCACCUGUUAGAUGCAGGUAAAAUGCAUCAAACAUCGUUGAUAUCAUAACUAUGGGCAAGUUGUGAGUGAUACAUUGGUAAUUAAUUGACUGGAAUGGUCGAAAGAGAGAACACUGUAAUGUGAGUGAUUGUACAUGCUUCGUUUGAUUUAUAGUAUUAUACACUUUCAAUGUAACUUGACUAUUUUGCCGAUGUUUUCGGGAAGGAGAAGUUGCACCUGAAGCUAUGAAGUUAUUUUCGAAAUUACUCUAUUCACAAUAUGUAAA